AGCCAUCAGUAGGAAAAUCUACUGAACAAAUUUUGAUGUGGUCAGAAUUUCUGGUCGGUUAAUAAGAAGAACAAAAUGUAUAAAAGGCAAUUUGGGACUAAGCUCUAAAAGUGGAGAAGUUACCAUGGAACCAUGGAAUAUUUCUGCUGGCUGCUUUACUUUAAAAUGUUACCUUACUUCCAAAACCACUCUUAAUUUAAUUUACAGCCACCACUGUUUAAAUCCAUAUAUAAGGAAUUGGGUGGGGGGGAGGCAGGGAGAAUGAAUGACUACGAGGAACACACUAGAGGAAAAGAAAAGGAGGGUAUAGGGUCAAUGAUGGCGAAGAAAUGCAGUAAUGGCAAUCAAUUUGGAGUAGAGAAGUCUACAUGGGGUGUACAUUAGAGUGCAAUUAAAAAAAAAAAAUUAAAAAAAAUUAAUGUACCAAACACCAAAAAAAGCUCCCGCUGCUCGGGGUAAAGAAAAAUAAAAUAAAAAAUUACAAAUAAAUAAAAAUCACACCCAGAGAAGGGAAGUCAUUAAGCAAAAUCUCAAAAAUUAUAAAUUAAUAACAUUACAAAAACCACACAGAAUGGGAGAGGUAUGAUAAUUUGUGGAAUAGUAGUGUCCCUGCUUGUACCCAUCUUUUGUAAACAUACAACACGCAAGAUGCAUGUAUGCUGCUUACACACAGGCACACUAUACACGCCCUCUUGGGAAAAUUGGUCCACAAAUAGAAUUAAAACUUUACCGUCUCUGCCUGGACUAUGAUAUACGUGGCUAUUAAAGUUAGAUAAAUGUCAUUCUGUGGAGCAGGGGCUAAGUACCGAGAUACUUCGAGUCACUAUGCACUACAGCACAGACAGCAGAAUGUAUAAUGAUACAGCAAUGCUCUGCAUUAAUAUACAGUGCGGCAUGCAGAACGUACAGGAGGUGCUCUGUAAGAUUAUACACUACGGCAUGCAAAGUGCUGAAUUUAUAGAGAAACUUUAUCAAUAUACUUUGCAGCAUUCGGAGCAGAAUGUCUAUCACUACACCUUGUAGCUACAGUUAUACCAUCAGUAGCCAUCGGCAGGCAAGAACCCCCAUCUAUAGGUACAAGUUAGACAGCUACCCAAUCAGCAGGAACAAGCAGGGACAAAUUCGGUCAUUGAAAACAGGUGAGCUGUACAAAGUAAUCAAUAAAGAAGGGGUUAAAUAGUGCAAGGAUAAAGGGGGUGAUCUCGCAGUCGCAGAAGGCACAGCACCAUAGUGAGGGGGAGCAGGGCAAAAACACAGCAGAAUCCCCCCAUUUCAUCACCUCCACAGGAGAACCAAAGACAAUUUCAUCCAAACAGCCAAAUAACAAAUAAUUAUUGCUUUUACUUCAGUCAGCCUUAAAUUCUAUGCAUUUUAUAUCCAUA